rnacentral:rRNA from 1 species
AUGAACGCUGGCGGCGUGCUUCACACAUGCAAGUCGAACGGAAAGGCUCCUGCUUGCAGGGGUACUCGAGUGGCGAACGGGUGAGUAACACGUGGGUGAUCUGCCCUGCACUUCGGGAUAAGCCUGGGAAACUGGGUCUAAUACCGGAUAGGACCACAUUUUGGAUGGUGUGGUGGAAAGUUUUUCGGUGUGGGAUGAGCUCGCGGCCUAUCAGCUUGUUGGUGGGGUAAUGGCCUACCAAGGCGUCGACGGGUAGCCGGCCUGAGAGGGUGUACGGCCACAUUGGGACUGAGAUACGGCCCAGACUCCUACGGGAGGCAGCAGUGGGGAAUAUUGCACAAUGGGCGCAAGCCUGAUGCAGCGACGCCGCGUGGGGGAUGACGGCCUUCGGGUUGUAAACUCCUUUCGCUAGGGACGAAGCGUUUUUGUGACGGUACCUGGAGAAGAAGCACCGGCUAACUACGUG